GAUGAACGCUAGCGGCAGGCUUAACACAUGCAAGUCGAGGGGCAGCGCGAUGUAGCAAUACAUUGGCGGCGACCGGCGCACGGGUGCGUAACACGUAUGGAACUUACCCUUUACUGGGAGAUAGCCCGGAGAAAUCCGGAUUAAUAUCCCAUAAUAAACGAAGUGGCAUCACUUUGUUUUGAAAGCUCCGGCGGUAAAGGAUGGCCAUGCGCACGAUUAGCUAGUAGGUGGGGUAACGGCUCACCUAGGCUACGAUCGUUAGGGGGCCUGAGAGGGUUAUCCCCCACACUGGUACUGAGACACGGACCAGACUCCUACGGGAGGCAGCAGUGAGGAAUAUUGCGCAAUGGAGGCAACUCUGACGCAGCCAUGCCGCGUGCAGGAAGAAGGCGCUACGCGUUGUAAACUGCUUUUAACCGGGAGAACCCUCCGACGUGUCGGAGGUUGACGGUACCGGAGGAAUAAGCACCGGCUAACUUCGUGCCAGCAGCCGCGGUAAAGU
rnacentral:rRNA from 1 species